UCACAAUUCCCAGUUCCAGCUGCUGAGCAUUUUUAUUAUUUUUCCAUCCAACUGAUCAACAAGAAGAAAAAAUGAAGUCCAAAUCUUUUCUGCUUGCGUGUCUCUUGCUCAUCUCUGUCCUCGUUAUUGCUUGGGCGGUGCCCGAAGCAACUCAAGCUAAAGAAGAAGAGGCGCGUGAAGUGGAUGCAAGCCUACGUCACGGAUGGGGA